rnacentral:rRNA from 1 species
CCAAUAGCGUAUAUUAAAGUUGUUGCAGUUAAAAAGCUCGUAGUUGAAUUUCGGAAUUUUUUUAUCGGUUGAAUCAACAGGUUCGUACUGAUUUUAAGAAUUUCUACCUUCUGGAGAACCUUAAUGUCAUUAAUUUGGUGUUUUGGGAAACCAGGACUGUUACCUUGAAAAAAUUAGAGUGUUUAAAGCAGGCUUAUGUCUGAAUAUAUUAGCAUGGAAUAAUGAAAUAGGACGGCAUGGUUCUAUUUUGUUGGUUUCUAGGAUCACCGUAAUGAUUAAUAGGGAUAGUUGGGGGCAUUAGUAUUCAAUUGUCAGAGGUGAAAUUCUUGGAUUUAUUGAAGACUAACUUCUGCGAAAGCAUUUGCCAAGGAUGUUUUCAUUAAUCAAGAACGAAAGUUAGGGGAUCGAAGACGAUCAGAUACCGUCGUAGUCUUAACCAUAAACUAUGCCGACUAGGAAUCGGACGAAGUUAAUUUUUUAAUGACUCGUUUGGCACCUUACG